AUGGAAGAACUGUACAAAAAAGAUCUUCAUGACCCAGAUAAUCAUAAUGAUGUGAUCACUAAUCUAGAGCCAGACAUCUUGGAAUGUGAAGUCAAGUGGGUCUUAGAAAGCAUCACUACGAACAAAGCUAGUGGAGGUGAUGGAAUUCCAGUUGAGCUGUUUCAAAUCAUGAAAGAUGAUGCUGUGAAAGUGCUGCACUCAAUAUGCCAGCAAAUUUGGAAAACUCAGCAGUGGCCACAGGACUGGAAAAGGUCAGUUUUCAUUCCAAUCCCAAAGAAAGGCAAUGCCAAAGAGUGCUCAAACUACCGCACAAUUGCACUCAUCUCACAUGCUAGUAAAGUAAUGCUCAAAAUUCUCCAAGCCAGGCUUCAGCAAUACGUGAAUCGUGAACUCCCUGAUGUUCAAGCUGGUUUUAGAAAAGGCAGAGGAACCAGAGAUCAAAUUGCCGACAUCCGCUGGAUCAUGGAAAAAGCAAGAGAGUUCCAGAAAGACAUCUAUUUCUGCUUGAUUGACUAUGCCAAAGCCUUUGACUGUGUGGAUCACAUUAAGCUGUGGAAAAUUCUGAAGGACAUGGCAAUACCAGAUCACCUGACCUGCCUCUUGAGAAAUCUGUAUGCACGUCAGGAAGCAAUAGUUAGAACUGGACAUGGACCAAAAGACUGGUUCCAAAUAGGAAAAGGAGUACGUCAAGGCUGUAUAUUGUCACCCUGCUUAUUUAACUUAUAUGCAGAGUACAUCAUGAGAAACGCCGGACUGGAAGAAACACAAGCUGGAAUCAAGAUUGCCGGGAGAAAUAUCAAUAACCUCAGAUAUGCAGAUGACCCCACGCUUAUGGCAGAAAGUGAAGAGGAACUAAAAAGCCUCUUGAUGAAAGUGAAAGAGGAGAGCGAAAAAGUUGGCUUAAAGCUCAACAUUCAGAAAACUAAGAGAAUGGCAUCUGGUCCUAUCACUUCAUGGGAAAUAGAUGGGGAAACAGUGGAAACAGUGGUUGACUUUAUUUUUUUGGGCUCCAAAAUCACUGCAGAUGGUGACUGCAGCCAAGAAAUUAAAAGACGCUUACUCCUUGGAAGAAAAGUUAUGAGCAACCUAGAUAGCAUAUUCAAAAGCAGAGACAUUACUGUGCCGACUAAGGUCUGUCUAGUCAAGGCUAUGGUUUUUCCUGUGGUCAUGUAUGGAUGUGAGAGUUGGACUGUGAAGAAAGCUGAAUGCCGAUGA
rnacentral:lncRNA from 1 species